rnacentral:misc_RNA from 1 species
GAAAUGCGAUACUUGGUGUGAAUUGCAGAAUCCCGUGAACCAUCGAGUCUUUGAACGCAAGUUGCGCCCGAAGCCAUUAGGCCGAGGGCACGCCUGCCUGGGUGUCACACAUCGUUUCCCCACAGACUAUAC